rnacentral:rRNA from 1 species
GACAGAGGCCUCGAGCGUUUAGGCGGAAUCACUGGGCUUAAAGCGUGUGUAGGCGGGCCCGUAAGUGUUUUGUGAAAUCCCACGGCUCAACCGUGGAACUGCUGGGCAUACUGCGGGUCUUGGGCCAACUAGGGGCAGCCGGAACAAGCGGUGGAGCGGUGAAAUGCGUUGAGAUCGGAAGGAACGCCCGUGGCGAAAGCGAGGUCCUGGACGUCUACUGACGCUGAGACGGCGAAAGCUAGGGGAGCGAACGGGG